AACAGGAUUAGAUACCCUGGUAGUCCACGCUGUAAACGAUGUCGACUUGGAGGUUGUGCCCUUGAGGCGUGGCUUCCGGAGCUAACGCGUUAAGUCGACCGCCUGGGGAGUACGGCCGCAAGGUUAAAACUCAAAUGAAUUGACGGGGGCCCGCACAAGCGGUAGAGCAUGUGGUUUAAUUCGAUGCAACGCGAAGAACCUUACCUACUCUUGACAUCCAGAGAAUUUGCUAGAGAUAGCUUAGUGCCUUCGGGAACUCUGAGACAGGUGCUGCAUGGCUGUCGUCAGCUCGUGUUGUGAAAUGUUGGGUUAUGUCCCGCAACGAGCGCAACCCUUAUCCUUUGUUGCCAGCACGUAAUGGUGGGAACUCAAAGGAGACUGCCGGUGAUAAACCGGAGGAAGGUGGGGAUGACGUCAAGUCAUCAUGGCCCUUACGAGUAGGGCUACACACGUGCUACAAUGGCAUAUACAAAGAGAAGCGAACUCGCGAGAGCAAGCGGACCUCAUAAAGUAUGUCGUAGUCCGGAUUGGAGUCUGCAACUCGACUCCAUGAAGUCGGAAUCGCUAGUAAUCGUAGACCAGAAUGCUACGGUGAAUACGUUCCCGGGCCUUGUACACACCGCCCGUCACACCAUGGGAGUGGGUUGCAAAAGAAGUAGGUAGCUUAACCUUCGGGAGGGCGCUUACCACUUUGUGAUUCAUGACUGGGGUGAAGUCGUAACAAGGUAACC
rnacentral:rRNA from 1 species